CCUACGGGGGGCUGCAGUCGAGAAUCAUUCACAAUGGGGGAAACCCUGAUGGUGCGACGCCGCGUGGGGGAAUGAAGGUCUUCGGAUUGUAAACCCCUGUCAUGUGGGAGCAAAUUAAAAAGAUAGUACCACAAGAGGAAGAGACGGCUAACUCUGUGCCAGCAGCCGCGGUAAUACAGAGGUCUCAAGCGUUGUUCGGAAUCACUGGGCGUAAAGCGUGCGUAGGCUGUUUCGUAAGUCGUGUGUGAAAGGCGCGGGCUCAACCCGCGGACGGCACAUGAUACUGCGAGACUAGAGUAAGGGAGGGGGAACCGGAAUUCUCGGUGUAGGAGUGAAAUGCGUAGAUAUCGGGAGGAACACUCGUGGCGAAGGCGGGUUCCUGGACAUUAACUGACGCUGAGGCACGAAGGCCAGGGGAGCGAAAGGGAUUAGAUACCCGUGUAGUC
rnacentral:rRNA from 1 species